UGCCGAUCCCGCUAGCCCUUGGGUAUUUUCUUCCAGUUUUCCAGGUCCAACCGUGCUGUGGUUCUCUAGGCGUGGAAACAUAGCCUUGAAUGGCUUCAUGAAGCGUUUCCCACCAAAAAGCUCACCAGAAGCAAGGCCAGAUACUGAAGCGACAUCAGUCUGAAGUUUCUCAUGAAAUCCUACACAAAUAAGGAUUCUUUCCUACACAAUGUUGGACGAGGACCAAAAAAGGCGUUGACUCUUCUAUCAUUUUAACAUCGUGGAUCACUUGGAAAGAGCACAACAGCUGGGUAUUCCAGGGUUCAACGUCCCCAACUGCCCAGUUCAUGAACAUGGUCAAGCAAAAGAUGGAACUCUGGAUUGCUGGCAGAGCAAAAGAUCAUGGUCAUUUACUGUUGCGAGAACAAGACUUAGAUCAACAGUGUUUCUAGUGCUUCUAAUUGAUUGUUUUCUCUCUGUGUAACUCCUAGAACGUAGACAGAAUUUGCACGCAUUCUGUACAUGUUUUCUUCUUUCCUACACUAGCUUUUAACAGCAAAAGUUCA